rnacentral:rRNA from 1 species
UACCGGCAGCACAAGUGGUAUCCACGAUUAUUGGGCUUAAAGCGCUCGUAGCUGGCUUACACCGUCUCGUGUGAAAUAUUGGCGCUCAACGUCAAUGCGGGCACGAAAUACCUGUAGGCUUGGGAGCGGGUGAGGUAAGGGGUACUCACGGGGGAGGGGUAAAAUCCUGUAAUCCUGUGAGGACCAACGGUGGCGAAGGCGCCUUACCAGAACGCAUCCGACAGUGAGGAGCGAAGGCUAGGAGAACGAAUCGGAUUAGAUACCCGAGUAGCCCUAGCAGUAAAUUAUGCAGACUCUGGUGUUGCAAAUGUCUUGAACGUUUGCAGUACCGUAGCGAAAGUGUUAAGUCUGCCGCCUGGGGAGUACGGCCGCAAGGUUGAAACUUAAAGCAAUUGGCGGGGGAGCACACAAGGGGUGGAUGUUGCGGUUUAAUUGAAUACAACGUCGGGAAUAUUACCGGGAGCGACGGCAGUGUGAAGGUCAGACUAAAGAUCUUGCCUGACGAGCCGAGAGGUAGUGCAUGGCGACCGUCAGCUCGUGGUGUGAACUGUCCGGUUAAGUCCGGUAACGAGCGAGACCUCCAUUGGCAGUUGCUACCCGUUCUGCGAAGAACGGGGCACUCUGCCGAGACCGCCUCUGUUUAAAGAGGAGGAAGGAGGGGGCGACGAUACGUCAGUAUGCUCUGAAUCUCCCGGGCUACACGUGACAUACAAAGGUUGGCACAAUGGGCUGCAACGCCGAGAGGCGAAGCUAAUCCCCUAAAACCAACCCAGGUUCGGAUUGAGGGUUGCAACUCACCCUCAUGAAGCUGGAAUCCCUAGUAAUCGCAUGUCACCAUCGUGCGGUGAAUCUGUCCCUGCUCCU